CCUGCGUGUGAGUUAGUGAAGGAGAGGCGGAGACCGACAAAUCAGAAAAAAAAAAAUCUAGGUGUUAAAAACUGAUUAUUGCGUUUCCAUUCCAAAAUUUUAAUCAGCCUGUUUUUGUGUUAUGGUUGUCAUUAUUAUAAUUAGUGUGCAAUCACUGGUUAAAAUGUGGUAUUUCAUGCCAGUACAGCAUGCUGAAUUAAUUGAGAGGCAGAAAGUAAGGGAGCGAGAGAGAGAGAGAGAGAAAAGGCAUCUCGAUUAUCAGCUGUGGAUGCAGCACUUCAAUGUGAUCCUGACUAAUGAGCCUGAAAGCUCUUCCCCAGUGCAGCAAGACUGCAGGAAGCAGCCAUGGUCUGGAGAUUUCCCCACUGCAGAAACACAUCACUGAGAGACAGCAGGAAGGUGUCUCCACUUCAGAGAGACAUCACAGGAGCAGACACCACACCAGCCCUCUGAAGAGCAGCAGACACCACACCGGCCCUCUGAAGAGCAGCAGAUAGACCAGACAGUCAAGGGCACCGUGCAGCCAAACCGGCUGUCCAGAUGUGAGCGGCAAUGCAAUCAGACAAACAGCGGGGGGAAACGGCAGAUUCAAUUACCCCCGGCCGCAAUCAGCACUAAGACGACUGCUACAAUGCCUGUGUGUUCACACAGCACAAAGCCAGCUUUUUCAUUACCCCUAUCUGCACGCUCACAUGCAAUUAUAGCGCUGAAUCGUUGACAAUGUGCUGAAAACUAUUAAAUCUCAAAAA